rnacentral:misc_RNA from 1 species
UGCACGUGCGUUUUUUUUUUUUUUUUAAACAAACAACGAAAAGUGAAUCAACUUUCUCAAUAAUCAACACUCGGCUGAGUUUGGCACGCAAGCGCCUCCGUGUAAGAUAAGAUUAAACAUGGGCGCGUGGACUCGACGCCCAUAAAAACGACGCUACCCAUUUCAAAAAAGGGGUACGUGGUUCAGAAAUGAAAGGCCCAUAAAAAAUAAAAUAAAAUACGCACGUGCAAGAGUCGCCAACGUUUCCUCCACACUGAUGAAACGACAUCACUGCCUGAACCUUAAGUCCAUGUCGCUUCGCCAUCUCCAAAAGCUCAGUAU